GCUUGGGCGUGCCUCCACCCACGCCGGCGUCGGCGGGCGUAUUUCGCCUCACAGUAGGUCGCCGCGACCCGUUGCUUUGGGGGACGUCGAAGGCCCGGACGGAUUGGUACCCUACCGGCUGGGGAUGCGGCUUCGGCUUCUCCUCUUGUCCGGUGGGCGAAACCGCCGGUGUCCUGGCUGCCCUGCGACGGUCGUAGAGACGAGCCCUCCCCUUCGGGGGGGCGGCUCUCGCGGCGUGCAAAAGGUCGGUGAUCCACCCGACCCGUCUUGAAACACGGACCAAGGAGUCUAACAUGUGUGCGAGUCAGUGGGCGCACUAAACCCAGAGGCGUAAUGAAAGUGACACGGGUUCGGCUGUCGCCUCGUGUGGCAGCCGGACUCAGGGCCGAUCCCUCACCGGUUGCCCUCGCCUCUCUCCCGCGUCUCGGUAAGCCGGGUGAGCUAUUUUCCCCGGCCGCUGCUGCGGGGCGCGGGGGGAGGCGGGGUGCGAUGGUGUCCGUAAAAAAGAGCCUGCUGUUGCAGGGGGGCGCAGGCCCGGGACUUGCCAGGACGCCGCGAGACUGUCACUUUGCUGUGAGGCUCUCGGGCCGAUCAGCGGGUCAUGCGUGCAGUCGGCAAGUACCAUGAGCAGACAUGUUGGGACCCGAAAGAUGGUGAACUAUGCCUGGCCAGGAUGAAGCCAGAGGAAACUCUGGUGGAGGUCCGUAGCGAUUCUGACGUGCAAAUCG
rnacentral:rRNA from 1 species